CCACCAGACUCCUACGGGAGGCAGCAGUGAGGAAUAUUGGUCAAUGGGCGAGAGCCUGAACCAGCCAAGUCGCGUGAGGGAAGACGGCCCUACGGGUUGUAAACCUCUUUUGUCAGGGAGCAAGAACGGAUACGUGUAUCCGGGCGAGAGUACCUGAAGAAAAAGCAUCGGCUAACUCCGUGCCAGCAGCCGCGGUAAUACGGAGGAUGCGAGCGUUAUCCGGAUUUAUUGGGUUUAAAGGGUGCGUAGGCGGGCUGCCAAGUCAGCGGUAAAAUCGCGGGGCUCAACCCCGCCCAGCCGUCGGAACUGCCGGGCUAGAGUGGGCGAGAAGUGCGCGGAAUGCGUGGUGUAGCGGUGAAAUGCAUAGAUAUCACGCAGAACUCCGAUUGCGAAGGCAGCGCACCGGCGCCCUACUGACGCUCAGGCACGAAAGCGUGGGUAUCGAACAGGAUUAGAUACCCUAGUA
rnacentral:rRNA from 1 species